GUACGGUGGCAAGCGUUGUCCGGAAUUAUUGGGCGUAAAGCGCGCGCAGGCGGGGUCCUUUAAGUCUGAUGUGAAAGCCCACGGGCUCAACCGUGGAGGGUCAUUGGAAACUGGGGGACUUGAGUACAGAAGAGGAAAGCGGAAUUCCAAGUGUAGCGGUGAAAUGCGUAGAGAUUUGGAGGAACACCAGUGGCGAAGGCGGCUUUCUGGUCAGUAACUGACGCUGAGGCGCGAAAGCGUGGGGAGCAAACAGGAUUAGAUACCCUGGUAGUCCACGCCGUAAACGAUGAGUGCUAAGUGUUAGGGGGUUUCCGCCCCUUAGUGCUGCAGCUAACGCAUUAAGCACUCCGCCUGGGGAGUACGGCCGCAAAGGCUG
rnacentral:rRNA from 1 species